UACGGAGGGUGCAAGCGUUGCUCGGAAUUAUUGGGCGUAAAGGGCAGGUAGGUGGUCUCAUUUGUCAGGGGUGAAAGCCUUGGGCUUAACCCGAGAAGUGCCUCUGAAACGGUGAGACUAGAGUUCUGGAGAGGUGAGUGGAAUUCCCGGUGUAGCGGUGAAAUGCGUAGAGAUCGGGAGGAACACCAGAGGCGAAGGCG
rnacentral:rRNA from 1 species